GCAGCUGGCCCGGGGUACAAUUUCGUUCAUUCAGUUAAAUAACUGCAGCCCGGUGCAAGUGUGGUCAGUGUCUAUAUGAGUGUGAGUGUAGGUCUGUGACAGCAACAUCAGGAGCCAAAAUUGAGCUCCUCCAGUGGCCCCAGGAGGCCUUGCUGGUGGUUACAGAUAGCCACACAUCCAAGCUGCCCUGAAUAUCAUCCACUAGCUCGGCUGCUGCUCUCCUUAAGGCUCAAGAUCAGAAUUGGAGGGCUUCUGGUGCAGCACCAGGCAGUCGCUCAGCAAGGAUGCCGGGCAGCAUCCGAAUCUCAGACAUUCAGCCACCGGUCACCGCACCACUCUUCUUGCAAGUUAAUGCAGGGAAAAAAGAGUACAGCGGAGACAUAGGGCAGCAUGGAUUCUCCCUUCCUGUUACAUCGAUUCGUGAUAGCAUGGUGAUGAUGCUGUACAAUGCAGACAAGGAAUUGGUAUCCAAGACAGAGGUGAAGACAAAGUUGAUUGUUGAGUUGGGAACCAUGGAUGCUGUUUUUACUCUUGAUAGUGGAGGGACAAUUAUUCUCCAGUUGCAGUUUUUUCUCAGCGAUGAAGAUCGCAAGCGCAUCCAAGAGAUGAGGAACUCUGUGAUGAAAAGAAAGCAGCAAGAGCUGCUUGGGAAUGGCGAUGAACUUUAUUUCCAAGGAGCUCUGUUUCUUACAAAUGGCUUUCAAAUUUUAUCAGAAGAUGGCCCACUGCCUAAAGAGCAUGCAGAAGAUAUCCCCGGCAUCCCAAGCAAAGAUGAUCUGAAAAAGAGGGUCGUCUUCUCCGAAACAAGUGUAGAUUCUGACAUGGUGGCUUCUAAGGACCCACCGUUGCAAAUUGGUGGUACUACUUCGAUGCUCGAAGGUCCCAUCGACGCCGAUUCCAAGAAAGGACAGGGUAAACCAAAGAGUAGAUCAAGCAGCGCGGUGAAGAAGAUGAUAAGUGCCUUCGAAAGCAGCUCCCCACAGUUUGCAUGGCCUGCAGGGUCUGCCUUCGGUGCCAAGGAUCAGAUCAGAGAGCUCGUUGGAAGAGAUGCCGUCGGUUUCUUGUUCAGAGACUUCCACCAACCCUUCACGCAAGCCUCCUACUCCUGGUGCAUCAGUGGACGCUCCAGGCCGCACCCAGACAGGUCCCAGGCCAGGGAAGCAAGCCAUGAUCAUUGGCAACAAGAAACCAAGCACAUCUUUUGGAAAGACCGGCCCGUUAAACACACAAGAAAGCCGGAGACGGAGCUCCAGGCAGAGCGCAGGAGCGAGCAACAUGAUUCGCCCGGAGAAGCGGUCAGCGGAAAAGCGUCGGCGUCGCUCCAUCGGCACCUACUCAUCGGAGCAGCAGGUGAACCCUUGUGGUGCGACGUCUAUCGUCACGUGGAUCAACCAUCCGCACGUCUGCAUCACCACUGCGAGCAGGCAGCUGAAAGGCAUUGUUGACGUCGAGCACCUGAAUUUCGUGGAGAACUUGGGACAGGGCGCAGGUGACGGCGCGGCGCGGUGUCCUGACGGUUCCCCGGUGCUGAAUGGGUGGUUGAUUAACCAGGGUGUGCGUGGUGUGAUAGUGAUCAUAGCCUGCGGAGCUGUGUUUUUCAACAACAGGUGAAGAAGAGGACGAGUGCAGCUGAUAACUUGUAACUAAUACGUAUCAGAAGCUGCGACCGAUGAGGCAUUGAGAUGCAGUGCAAUUUGUUUGUGUCAAUGGCUUGCUGUUGCUUCAUACUCCACCAUGAUGACUCGCAGUUCAUGUCAGAAGCUGCGAUGAGACGAGUGUAGAGUAUCAUAUGUGUAAAUCAUUCUGGGAUGAUGAUGAACUGUCGGGUUCUAGCGCGGCCUUCUGCCACCGCGUCCCUUUGGCCGUAUGCCGUGCUUUGGGAUGUCUGUCCAGUAUUUGGACUUUGUGGUCAGCCCGGAUGGUCCCGAGUCGCCUCGGUUGGUGCAAAAGACGGGGAGCUCUGAAACGAGGGAGGCUCACCACCACCAGACUGGACUGCUGCAGAAUAAUGAAGUUGUCACUGCUUGAUUGAUGGUUCCUCUCUGCUAAGAGAAUGGCUUGAUUGGACUCUUUAGUUAGUGCGAUUGUGUCGUACGUGUGCUACUGUUAUUACCAUCUUAUAAGUUAGUGAGAGGCCCAUCUCGAGCUGUUUUAUUUAUGUGGAUUCCUUGCUUUUGUUGCUCUAUGCUUCUUCGAGAUAAGGAUUUGGUUUGUCUCAAGCAAGAUGGUCAACUGAUUGAUUGAUUGACUCAUUCAUGUGUCACAAGUCUUUUGUUGUUGUCUCCGGAUGCAAACUACUAAGUAGUAGUUCUCUGAA